GUGAGGGCAAACUGCCUGAGGCACGGGGCCCAGAGCAGCACAGGAGUUCUCCCAGUUUCAGGUCGUAACAUCGGAGAGUGGUUUUGCCCACUUCUUUAAAGAUCAUCUGGUCCGUCCUCCUGGAAAUCUUUCUCUGUCCGACCUGACCUCGAGCAUUUCCAGGGAUGGGACACCUCUAGGGACACUCACCACAGGCUCAGAGGUCAGAAUCUGCUUCCAGGACUGCAUGAGCUUUAGCAUUUCUGCCUGUGCUCCAGUCCAGGGCUGCCCCUCUGUACCCGCUGAUGGCCCAGGGUGUUGGAAUCCCAAGAGAACAGCUUGUGAGACUUCAGGACUUGUCAAAGCUGAAGUUGAACCCUUAUCCCAGGCUGGCUGGGUGCCCACAGCCCAGCCAGCCCUAAUCUGGGACUGUACACUGCCCAUGUUUAAUGAGGUAUUGUGUACGGAUGUGUCUGACUGUGUGUAUGCACAUGUCGUGGGCUCUGGGUGUCUCACUCAAUGUUUGCAUCUGUCUGUUAGCAGGUUUGGGCAUCUGGGGCUGUUCCCCUUGCCUGAUUAAAUAUCUUCCCAGGAGAGAGUUUGUGUAGCUGAGGAUCUCAUCAUAUGAGUCAGAGUCUGCACGGGGAAGUAUUCACAGCUCUCCAUGUGUGCAGAAUUUGCACAACGUCCGUGGGUCAUGCUGGGCUGUCGAAGAUACUUCUUCCACUGUCAGCAUGUGCUGAGUGAUGACAGAUGGGUGGGUGGCCAAGGAAUGGAUGGAUCAGUGCAGAGCAGGGUGGGCUUCCCCAUCAGUGGUGGGCAAUAGUAGGAACCAGUGCUGCUUGUGGCUAAUCUCUCUCCCCAAGGGCAUGUGGAGCCCAGCCUGGACACUAUCCUGCAUCCUGUGGCCAUGGAAAGGGGACAGGGCAUCCAUGAGGCUUGGAUGCAGCAUCAGAGUGCCUGCCUGUCACUAGCAGUGAGGUGCCCUGUGAGGGGCUGCUGGCAGCUGCUGUGGCCCUGGGUAGGGCUGUGACCCAAGUCUGGCUAGGCCUCCUCUAACUCAAGUGGCCCUAGGGUUCAGGGGACCCCCCCAUUGCCCAAAAAGCACAUGACAGACAAGGCAGUGCCUGUGUGACACUCCCUGUUCCUAUGUUUCUUCCCUCCUGCCCUCCCUGCCUCCACCCAGGUCCAUCCUGAGGAGUGUCCCUCCCAGCUGGGUCAAUGCCUGCAUCCCCUAACCGCUGUCCCUGCAGGGACCCCCAGACCCUGCAGGGCACAGGGCCAGCAGGCCAGGAGGGCUGGCAGCCUGGGGCAGUGGGAGGAUCACAGCCUCUCGCACAUGUGCUGUCCAACCCGUCAGCACCCUUGUGAAGCAAAGCCAGUGCUGGCUGGGGGUGUGCACCCCAGCUCUCUCCCUUUGCCAUGACAAGCCAAGCAUGUGUGCCAGAAAGCUCACCCUGUGGUAGAAGCCAUCCAUCCACUUUGGAGCUCAGCACCCCCUCCCUGCUCCUUGGCUGCAGGGGUGUUUGGCUGCAGAUAUUUACCAAGCAAUUCACAUCCCAUUACAGAAGCCAGAAAGACUGGGAGGAUUUUUCUUCUGGUUUCUUGCAACCAAAGCCAACUUGUCCAAAUUAACAACCUAGGAAGCAUCUCAUUAGUGGAGAGUGAGAUCUCCAAAAUAUAGUGUGUUUAGAAAACACUCUGCCAGGGGCAUAGGAAUGUAGGCUGGCUGGCAGGUGAGUUGGUGAGGAGCCUAUCUGGUCACCAUCUUCUCUCACCCAUGGUAUUUUCCCCCUCCUGUGGCACCUGAGUGGAGAGGAGAUGGGAUUUUGGAGGCUUCCAGCUCAUCACAUCAUUUCCCCAUUCCCACUUUGGUUUAAGAGGUGUUUGAUUUUGCUGAGCUGAAGCAUGGGCUGGUAUUCCCACACAUUUCUUUCCCCACCAGCUUCUCCUGCCCUUUCUCUCAGGCCAUGUGGUGUCACCCCAACCAGGAGGGGAAGGUCUAGGAGCAGAGUCCUGGGAAUGAUGAUUACAAGUGUUCAAUAACAUUAGUAGAAUUAGGAUCCUCAGCAGCAUCACUGGCUGAUCUGUCUCUAGUGCUGUCCCAAGAGGCUGGUGGCUGGGGGACAUCCCUCACCUGGCCUCAUGGAGAUCUGCUCUCUGGUGUGGCUGUCCCAGAGGGAUUUAUGCCAGAGGCACCUGUGUGGAGCCUCCAUAUUCCCAAAACUUGCUGAAGACUUUGUCUCAGGUGGGAUACAAGCCAGCACAGGGGCUGGGAUAUGGGGAGGAGGUGAGGCAGGGUCCAAAGUGAUCUGGUGACUACUAGCUGCAGCUGCAGGGGAGCUUUCUGCCAAGGUUUGAGAAUGGAAGAGAUCAGGGAAGUGCAGCUGGCAGCGGUGUCUGGGCUUUUGUGGCUGAGAGGUGACUCCUAUGCCAAUGACUUAGUGCCCUUCCAAAAAUACUUUCCCGGAUACAGCUUGCUAGCAAACUGCUGAGCCAGCUUGUACCAGUGACAGGGAUGGAGGCAGGCACGGCUCUGGUGCCUUCCUUCCAGCCACAAUGUUUGGGGUGUGUGUGCUGGCCCAUGCAGGGCUGGCUCCCACGCAGGACUGAGGACACCUGUGUUUUAAGUGGCAUGGUGGGUGAGGGAGCCUGGAUGCCUCCCUGUCCCAACAGAGCCUGUGGGGGCUGGUGGGGAGCUGCACCAUCCCCCUGGCUCCUGGCCCAUGUGGGGAGGGCUUUGUGCUCCCCUGCCAAUUGCACCAUCUGCUCCCUGAGCUGCCAGCCAGGCUGACGGUCCCUGCCCAGCCAUCUCCCAACCAUCCUCAGGUGCCUGGGCAGGAGAAUCCACGUGGGCUCUUGCUGUUGAGGUGAAAGUGGCUAUUGAGCAGCCCUGGUCUGCUCCUGGAAUCAUCUGCCAGCAUCUGAGUGAUGGUGUGCACUGUCUCUUGUCCCAUCAAGAGACAGUCCCCUCCUUUCCUUGCCCGUUCCUGGCAGCUGCCAGGCUGUAGCUUCUCUUUCAAGGUCGAAUUUGAUGAGCUCCAGCUUCCAGAUGGGUGAUCUUGUAAUGACUUUGCAAAUGAGUGUCACUCCUGUGUCCCAUAUGGGUGAGGGUCAGCAUGGACACGGCGCCCUCAGCACAAGGCAGAAGGAAAGGCUGGGAUGGAUAAAGCCAAGCUGCCUGCACUAGCUCAGCCACCCUGCCCCCACACUUCACCAGUCCCGCUGCCAGGAGAGCUGCUGGGUUCCUCUGGUAUGAUGUGCUUCCCAGAGAGCCAGGUUGGUUGGCAGCAUGUGGGCCCCCACAUCCCCAGGACAUCCCAGUGUCUCUGUUCUGGGCUUCAAAGUGCCUGAGCCCCUUGACAUGACCAAAGUGAGUUUGGAUGAUGAGCACCUCCUUGCUCCCCAUGAAGAGCAUGUCCCACCAUGGGAAGAUGAGGAGUUUCCAUCAGAGGAAGCUGCUCCUUGCCAGCAGAAGAGGUGGGAGAGGGUAACCUGGCUGCAGACAUGGGAUUUGGGUCUCCUCACUGUCCCUGAUGAGCGCCCUGCCCUUCUGUGUGGAUGAACCAGAACCUCCUUUUCGUGAACCAUGCCUGCCUGUCCUUGUGGGCUGCCUGCCCUUCCUUGCUGCCCAUGGCACUGCCUCUCACUGUCCCCAGCCAGGCAAGGCAAGUCCCCUGUAAGCCCAUCCUGCACAGCCACCCCCAGUGGCACACCGUGCUCUGUGUUCUGUUCUGGCCUCGCUGCUGGCACCCCGGUGAUGGCCACCCGCCGCUGCCCUGGCCUUCAGCAGCCCAUGGCUCCAGCACCACCCAACUGUGCACCUCCAGGCCUGCCACCCCUGGGCAGCCACGGGUCUUUGGGCAGCUCUGCCUGCUGUCACUGGGAGCAGGGAAUGGCGCGGGGGGCAGGAAAACCCCCUGGCAGGGGGCUGAGAGGAGGAGUGGGAAGGGGGUUGGGAGACAGGGCAGCCCACCGCCCGGUUCGGCUGCGCCGGUUCCCCUCCCUGGCCCCACCAGCCCAUUUAUUACCCCUCUGCCAUUCAUCAGGCCAGACAGAUGCCCCCAAAUAAAUACCCCCAGACAAUAGGGUGGGAGGGGCCAGCGAGGCUCCUCAUAAAUAAACAUAAGGGACUUUGGACACAGCUUCCUCUCUUCGAAAAAUGGGACCGAUUGUGCUGCAGGCAUUUAAAAUUCAGCCGCGGUCGGGCUGUCUUCCAGUGUCCCCUGAACUGCUGAGCUCUUUCAUCAUCUGCCUGCCUCCCUCCAGCUUCCCGUGGCUCCUCCAAGGCUCCUUUGUGGCCGUAAUCAAAGCCUGCUCCUGUGCCUUGGCUGCCCCCAGUGCUGACCAGUGCUACGCCAGUGCCGCAGUGAUGGAGCCAUGAGAGUAUUCAGAGACUGGGGGCAGAAACCUUCCUGCUUCCAUUUAUGCUUCCUGCAGGGACUCAGCACUCACCAGUGCUGCCAGGGAAUCCUCCUCAUCACCGACAGCCUGGCUUGACCUCAUUGUGAUUUUUUUUUUGUGGUUUUCAAUAACAUUAAACUUUUGGCUGAAUUGCAAAGCAUCUGAAGAGCUGGGUCUCUCUCUGUGAGGAAUUGGUAGUGCACUGCAGAGUCUCCCUGCUCAAGCAACAAUGAAGUAGGGAAGCAGGAGAGGAGCCCCCAAAAACUGCAUCACUGUGGCCCAAGGCACUGCCCCCAUGGCUGAGGAACACCCUGAUUCCCUGAGGAGGGGGCCUGCCCGACCUUGGGUUAUCACCUGCAUUGCAGCUGGGUGACAGCUUUCCCAAGAACACAUGUUCCCUCAUAAACCCCGGCUCUGCUUAUCUCAAAGGGCACAUCCGACAAUUAGCUUAUCUGCUGUGAAAGUGAGGAACAGCUUUGGAUAUCUGCCUGGCUUCCGCAGGCUUGGGAAAAAAACAGGGGAAAGAGUCCCUGGAAGACCGAGGCACAUCCUCAGUGUCUUAUAAAUAAAGUGACUGCGCUCCGAGUGUGCCGCAGAUGGACUCCAUGUGCUCAGGGUGGGGAGAUGGAAGUGCUGCUGACUCUUAAGGAUGUUCAGUGCUUCCUGCUGAAAAAGUCUGCCUUCAGCUGCUGCCAGCCUUGCCAAACCAUCCCAGGGUGGGUGGCGAUUUUGUGCAGGAUGGAUUGCAGCCUCCAGUUAAAUUUUUGGGGAAAAUUUCAGCUGGAGACCAUGGCUCUUUCCAAGAAUGGGGACAGGGGAAAAAAUAAAGGAUUUGUUCUCAUUUUAAAAUUCUGUCUUUGAAGCAAUUUGGCAAGUGAAGAGGGAAGAGAGGCUGAGCUUCAUCUUGUGUUCCUGGAAUAUGCUCAAAUUUGACCACGCUAGAACACUUUAUUUGGGAAAAAAUGUGGUUAUCAUGAGCUUGGUGCAAACCUCUUCCAUAGGAGCAGCUCACAGGGAAUAGGUCUGCCACCACCCAGCUCCUGGGCAAUUGGGUGCCAAAGCCAAGGGCCACUUGUGGCCCCACCAGUGUCAUGGGGGUCAGAGGAGUGGCAGAGGGAGCUGCAGCUCCAUCUUCUGCAGGCCAUGCCAGGGCCGUGCUCUGCCUGACUGUUUUUGGUGAUUUACACGAUUUUUCUCCUGUCCUGUAGCAAUCCUGUGUGAGAAGCAGAGAAGAGCAGGCACAUUUAGCCAGCUCUGUGCAGUGUGAUCACAAUGUCCCCUGUGCAGUGUUCUGCAACCCCAGGGAUGUUUCUCCUCCCUGCCUGGCCCAGGGCUCUCCCUCACUUGGAGAGCAAAUUAAGAAUUGGUUCAGUUCAUUUGGUACAGAUGAUUGUUUGAGGAGCAAAUAACCAAAAAAGCUGGUGGAAAGCCCAAUUUUCCUCUCUCCUGGAGACUUUCUGGAAGACUCUCUGGAGCUCCUUUCUCUUGGAGGCUUUCUGGAUGGUGGCUGGUGCCCCAUGCUAUGCCCUGAGGAAGGCCUGGGCUGCCUUUGGGGGGGAACUUCAGUUGGCUUCCUCCCCACCCUGCUCCUCCUGCUCUCCCCAAUUCUGCACCAGGAAACAAGUAUAUUGUUUGCAAGCUAAAAACUAGAAAUGAUUUAUAUGUUUAUAAGCCCAGCUCUGGCUCCAUUUAUUUUGGCAAUGAAAUUGUUUGCA